GGCCGUUUGGCGCAAUGGUAGCGCGUGGACCUCCUACGUCGUCGUCUUCACAAGCGAAACAGUCCAAGGUUGCGGGUUCGAGUCCCGUGAUGGUCG